rnacentral:rRNA from 1 species
AUUGAACGCUGGCGGCAUGCCUUGCACAUGCAAGUCGAACGGCAGCACGGACUUCGGUCUGGUGGCGAGUGGCGAACGGGUGAGUAAUGUAUCGGAACGUACCUUUCAGUGGGGGAUAACGUAGCGAAAGUUACGCUAAUACCGCAUAUUCUGUGAGCAGGAAAGCAGGGGAUCGCAAGACCUUGCGCUGAUUGAGCGGCCGAUAUCAGAUUAGCUAGUUGGUGGGGUAAAGGCCUACCAAGGCUACGAUCUGUAGCGGGUCUGAGAGGAUGAUCCGCCACACUGGAACUGAGACACGGUCCAGACUCCUACGGGAGGCAGCAGUGGGGAAUUUUGGACAAUGGGGGCAACCCUGAUCCAGCCAUGCCGCGUGAGUGAAGAAGG